CCAUAGCUAAUCGUUGAAACACCGGUUCUCGUACCAUCAUCGAAGUUAAGCAAAGUCGAGCCUGGGCAGUACCUAGAUGAGUGACCGCUCGGGAAUACCAGGUGUUGUAA
rnacentral:rRNA from 1 species